rnacentral:misc_RNA from 1 species
GGGAGCCGUAUGCCCGAAUUGGGCCCGUACGGAUCUGAGCGGGGGCGCUCAGUAAUGAGCGUCCCUACCGCGAU